AUUGAACGCUGGCGGCAGGCUUAACACAUGCAAGUCGAACGGUAACAGGAAGAAGCUUGUUUCUUUGCUGACGAGUGGCGGACGGGUGAGUAAUGUCUGGGAAACUGCCUGAUGGAGGGGGAUAACUACUGGAAACGGUAGCUAAUACCGCAUAACGUCGCAAGACCAAAGAGGGGGACCUUCGGGCCUCUUGCCAUCGGAUGUGCCCAGAUGGGAUUAGCUAGUAGGUGGGGUAACGGCUCACCUAGGCGACGAUCCCUAGCUGGUCUGAGAGGAUGACCAGCCACACUGGAACUGAGACACGGUCCAGACUCCUACGGGAGGCAGCAGUGGGGAAUAUUGCACAAUGGGCGCAAGCCUGAUGCAGCCAUGCCGCGUGUAUGAAGAAGGCCUUCGGGUUGUAAAGUACUUUCAGCGGGGAGGAAGGGAGUAAAGUUAAUACCUUUGCUCAUUGACGUUACCCGCAGAAGAAGCACCGGCUAACUCCGUGCCAGCAGCCGCGGUAAUACGGAGGGUGCAAGCGUUAAUCGGAAUUACUGGGCGUAAAGCGCACGCAGGCGGUUUGUUAAGUCAGAUGUGAAAUCCCCGGGCUCAACCUGGGAACUGCAUCUGAUACUGGCAAGCUUGAGUCUCGUAGAGGGGGGUAGAAUUCCAGGUGUAGCGGUGAAAUGCGUAGAGAUCUGGAGGAAUACCGGUGGCGAAGG
rnacentral:rRNA from 1 species